ensembl:snRNA U2 U2 spliceosomal RNA
AGAGUUUAUCAGACGUUUGGCUAAGAUCAAGUGUAGUAUCUGUUCUUAUCAGUUUAAUAUCUGAUACAUCCUCUAUCCAAGGACAAUAUACUAACCGAUUUUUGGAGCACGGAGUUGGAAUAGGCGCUUGCUCCGUCACUGCACGCAUCGCCCUGGUAUUACAGUAUCUCCGGGAAUGGUGCAGUCCCU